AUUAAGGCAAAGCUGAGAUCACAAGGGGUGGGGACAGACAGGUAUUUCUUGAUUUCCAAAUAAUUCCUGUGUACUUUGGCUGAAUCUCUUAAGCUCCCUGGUGCUGCUGAUAUCCAUCUGCAGGAUGGGAGUAAGUGGAUGCAGAAUCUGCAAGCUGCUGUGAGGAUGCACACGCUGAGAUCCCAAGGAACGCUGUUGCCACGGGGUGAGAUGAAUGCUAUAGAGAACGGGGCAAAACCGAUGUGUUUUCUUCACACCUUGCAGCCACCGCUCCCUCACCAGCUCUGUGGACCUGUCCCGUGCAGUCCCAGGUCAGCCGGGGAAGGGGAGGGAAGGGAAGGGGAAAGGGAAAAGGAAAGGGAGAGGGCCAUCGAAAAACACACCACCUUGAGCCUGCAGAGCCGGGCAGGGCGGGAUCGGGAUCAGGCCUGGCCGCCACUCAUUGCCAGGCAACUACGUAAAUAGGCAGGACAACAUUUCGACACCAGGCGUGUCCGUCCCUAGCGUUUACCCCAAUCCCCUCCUGAUUAAAAAAAAAAAAAAAAAAAAAAAAAAGAACAAGAACCAGCAAACAAAACAAACUGCAGCAAAAUGGCUGAAACAUGUUGCAACCAUCUGUGAAAGUCGGGCUCUCAUGACCCGAGAGAGGGGGGAGAAAGCGAGCGAGACAGCGAUUUGAGGGGGGGGAAAGAAGCCCCAGCGAGAGCCGGGCGCGGGUCAGCAGCUGAGGGCAGACAGGGGCCGAGAGAGGCGGCACCUCCGGCACUUCUUACCUUGCGGGCGAGGGAGCUUCGCGCUGGGCUGCCCCGGGAGAGCGAGAGGGCUGCGCGCCUCCCGCGCUCCCCGCCGCGCCCGGGGCUCCUUCCUCAGCCGGCCGGGCGGCUUUCCCUCCUUUUACGACACCCUCCCUGCCUGCCUGCCUCUCCCAGGUGAGCGGCAGAACUGGCUCUGCAGCAGGAAGUGGAAGAGCACGCAGGGCUCGGCGCGGCGGCCGGCGGGAGAGCCUCUGUGAGGGAGUGACACUUGGAGGGAGGCUCAGGGCUCCCCGGCCAUGCCUGCGUGCGGCUCGCCGCCUCUGCCCGGGGAAUGCGGGCGGCCUCUGCGUGAGCACCGCGGAGAAAUAACUCAGGGGGAACGCCGGUGUGGUUCCUAAACGAUGUGCCUCGUCGGGAAAGUCAUCCCUUGCUUUCAGCCCCCGGCCGCUUACUGUCGGUGCCAAAUGUUAAAUCAGCUGUGAUUCAGACUACUGAAGACAAUCACAUGAUGCGUGUAAGAACUAUAUAAAGAACAACAACAACAAAAAAGAUUUCUCGACUGGUUCUUUUAGGUUAGAUUUCUAGACACUUCCAAGUUUCUAUACUCUAAAGGAGCAGAAAGUCGGUUUUCCUACCAGCUGAAACUUCCCCAUUCUCACGGCUCCUGAGAGCCGAGCAGCUCCGGAGAUGCCCGGUGAGCUGUCUCAGGAAAGCCGCUCCGGCUGCUUUAUCCCAGCCCUCAGCACUGUCCUGACCCUCCACUCAGCACAUCCCCCUGCCCAGAAGCUCUUCCUGAUCUCCAGCCUCAUUUUCUUAGUUUAACCCUAGAAGGAGGUUCACUUAGCAGGCUGCAGCCUGGGCACGGCUCCUCAUCCUCCAAGUGACUGUGGGCAGACGCCACUCGCUGCCUCAGUGCCUGGCAGCUCUGCCUGGAAACACAGGGACAUCUUAACCAUCCCCCGAGCUCCUCGCUCUGGCAGUGCCACCGCUGCUCCUUCCUCUGCCC
ensembl:lncRNA